rnacentral:rRNA from 1 species
CACGUAGGGUGCGAGCGUUGUCCGGAAUUAUUGGGCGUAAAGAGCUCGUAGGCGGUGUGUCGCGUCGGCCGUGAAAACCUGCAGCUUAACUGUGGGCGUGCGGUCGAUACGGGCAGACUUGAGGUAUUCAGGGGAGAACGGAAUUCCUGGUGUAGCGGUGAAAUGCGCAGAUAUCAGGAGGAACACCGGUGGCGAAGGCGGUUCUCUGGGAAUAUCCUGACGCUGAGGAGCGAAAGUGUGGGGAGCGAACAGG